UACGUAGGGCGCAAGCGUUGUCCGGAAUUAUUGGGCGUAAAGAGCUCGUAGGCGGCUUGUCACGUCGGGUGUGAAAGCCCGGGGCUUAACCCCGGGUCUGCAUUCGAUACGGGCAGGCUAGAGUGUGGUAGGGGAGAUCGGAAUUCCUGGUGUAGCGGUGAAAUGCGCAGAUAUCAGGAGGAACACCCGUGGCGAAGGCGGUUCUCUGGGACGGUACUGACGCUGAGACGCGAAAGCGUGGGGAGCGAACAGG
rnacentral:rRNA from 1 species